rnacentral:lncRNA from 1 species
UUGUACAUCCCUUAUGGAAAUAUAAGCCCUCUGGCACAUAGUUGCGGCAGCAGUAUGGCUAUGCUGCGGCUUUGUUGCUGCAAACUGUUGCGGCUUCAAUGCAGCGAUAGCAUAUUUCGUAUGCAAAUUAGUUUUCUGGCACCAUAAUUGCGGCUAUAUUCUGGCACCGUUGCGGCAAUAUUCUGGCAUCAUGUUGCGGCACUGAUGCGGCUAUAGCGUAUUUCGUAUGCAAAUUAGUUUUCUAGCAUUAUGAUUGUGGCGCUGUUGCGGCGCUAAUACGGCUAUAUUCUUGCAUCAUUUUAGUGACAAAACAUGCGAAUAGGCCGUGCUUUGUAUAAAAUGUAUUGUGCCGGCAAAAACAAGUUGUCAAUGCAUAUAUAUGACAUGCAUUCAUGCAUUAUAAAUUUGUAUGCACAGGCACAUAAAAUAAAUGUCAGCGGUAUCUGCAUAACAAAUAAUGAAAAUUUUUAAUGUGCCCUAAGUUUAGCAAAUAAUAUUGUGUUAUUUACCAAACUACAAGUAUGCAAUUAAACUGCUGCAAAAAAAAAAAAACAACACAAACUUCACCGAUACAUGUAUAGUGAACUCAGAUGAGGCCAUGUUAUUGAAAUACACAAUGCAAGAUUGAUCUUUUCUAUACAUGCAAUUACUUGAUAUGAGUUUACUUACAAGUCUUCAAAUCUUCCAAAAAAAAACCAGCUAGAACACCAAAUUCUUCAAUACAAUUAUUAUCACAAGCAACAUGGUGGAUUUCUAACACACUAGUACAGGGAAUAGCUAAAAACGCUGGAAAUGACAUCAUCAAAUUUUCUGGCUAUAUUGUGGUGCUCAUUAAUUUUGAAAGGAAUUAGUGUCGCAAUGAUGCCAGAACAAUGCCGCUAGCAGCAUCAUCCGGCACUACCCCGGC